AUCUAAAAAAGACGGCUGUUAAAAAAAUCGCGUGUUAUUUGAGCUCGACAUGGGGUUGCGUUCGGCUUCAUUAUAAUUCAAGAAUUUGAUUCCCCAAUUUUUUUCUUUGCUGAAUCGAAAGAAAUAACACCAAUCUUUGCUCAAAGUGCAAAAUUUCUGCGAAAAUCCAUGUACCAUCGGUUUUAUAAGCCCCUAAUUUAGACUAUUAUUCAAGUCGACAUUUUUUAUUGACAUGUUUAGACAGCAAUAAAAUAUACUUUUUUUGCCGGAAAAAGUAAAGAAACCACUCGAUUUAUACCUUAUCAACUCCUUUCUAAGGAUCUGUAUCGCUAUUUUUAAUUCCGCGUAUAUUUAAAGAAUAUUUUGCGAUUUUUUACGCAAGGUAAAAAAUGCCCCCAAAUCGGCGAUUUUAUAGGCAAAAUCGUAAAUUCGGAAUUUCUCGAAAAAUAUUUAAUGUAUGUAACUCAAACUUUUUAACCAUGAUAAGGGAACCAGGGGCUAACUUUAAACCAAUUUUGAGCGAUUUUGAAAUUUCUUAUUUGGAACCCCUCAGUUGAAUCUAAGGGACUGGUGCACUUAAGAAUGGAGAGCUUAGAGCAGUACACAAGUCAAAUUAUUAAUAAACAAAUAGCCUAAAACGAACAUUUUCAAUUUUGAAAUAGACCUACACUAGACCUACACUAAAAGCACACAGGGGGAAAUAGACCUACCGUAAGAGCACUAAUGGAACACAGGGGGAUAUAGACCUACCGUAAGUGCACUAAUAGAACACAGGGGGAUAUAGACCUACCGUAAGUGCACUAAUAGAACACAGGGGGAAAUAGACCUACCGUAAGAGCACUCAUAGAACACAGGGGGAAAUAGACCUACCGUAAGAGCACUAAUAGAACACAGGGGGAUAUAGACCUACCGUAAGUGCACUAUUAGAACACAGGGGGAUAUAGACCUACCGUAAGAGCACUAAUAGAAAACAGGGGGAUAUAGACCUACCGUAAGAGUACUAAUAGAACACAGGGGGAAAUAGACCCACCCGUAAGAGCACUAAUAGAACACAGGGGGAUAUAGACCUACCGUAAGUGCACUAAUAGAACACAGGGGGAAAUAGACCUACCGUAAGAGCACUAAUAGAAGACAGGGGGAAAUAGACCUGCCGUAAGAGCACUAAUAGAACACAGGGGGAAAUAGACCUACCGUAAGAGCACUAAUAGAACACAGGGGGAUAUAGACCUGCCGUAAGAGUACUAAUAGAACACAGGGGAAUAUAGACCUACCGUAAGAGCACUAAUAGAACACAGGGGGAUAUAGACCUACCGUAAGAGCACUAAUAGAACACAGGGGAAUAUAGACCUACCGUAAGAGCACUAAUAGAACACAGGGGGAAAUAGACCUACCGUAAGAGCACUAAUAGAACACAGGGGGAUAUAGACCUACCGUAAGAGUACUAAUAGAACACAGGGGGAAAUAGACCUACCAACACAGGGGGAAAUAGACCUACCGUAAGAGCACUAAUAGAACACAGGGGGAAAUAGACCCACCGUAAGAGUACUAAAAGAACACAGGGGGAAAUAGACCUACCGUAAGAGCACUAAUAGAACACAGGGGGAAAUAGACCAACCGUAAGAGUACUAAAAGAACACAGGGGGAAAUAGACCCACCGUAAGAGCACUAAUAGAACACAGGGGGAUAUAGACCUACCGUAAGAGUACUAAUAGAACACAGGGGGAAAUAGACCUACCGUAAGUGCACUAAUAGAACACAGGGGGAUAUAGACCUACCGUAAGUGUACUAAUAGAACACAGGGGGAAAUAGACCUACCGUAAGAGUACUAAUAGGACACAGGGGGGUAUAGACCUACCGUAAGAGCACUAAUAGAACACAGGGGGAUAUAGACCUACCGUAAGAGUACUAAUAGAACACAGGGGGAAAUAGACCUACCAACACAGGGGGAAAUAGACCUACCGUAAGAGUACUAAUAGAACACAGGGGGGUAUAGACCUACCGUAAGAGCACUAAUAGAACACAGGGGGAUAUAGACCUACCGUAAGAGUACUAAUAGAACACAGGGGGAAAUAGACCUACCGUAAGAGCACUAAUAGAACACAGGGGAAUAUAGACCUACCGUAAGAGCACUAAUAGAACACAGGGGAAUAUAGACCUACCGUAAGAGCACUAAUAGAACACAGGGGGAAAUAGACCCACCGUAAGAGCACUAAUAGAACACAGGGGGAUAUAGACCUAGCGUAAGUGCACUAAUAGAACACAGGGGGAGAUAGACCUACCGUAAGAGUACUAAUAGAACACAGGGGGAACUAGACCUACCGUAAGUGCACUAAUAGAACACAGGGGGAAAUAGACCUACCGUAAGAGCACUAAUAGAACACAGGGGGAAAUAGACCCACCCGUAAGAGCACUAAUAGAACACAGGGGGAAAUAGACCCACCCGUAAGAGCACUAAUAGAACACAGGGGGAAAUAGACCUACCGUAAGAGCACUAAUAGAACACAGGGGGAAAUAGACACACCCGUAAGAGCACUAAUAGAACACAGGGGGAAAUAGACCUACCGUAAGAGCACUAAUAGAACACAGGGGGAAAUAGACCUACCGUAAGAGCACUAAUAGAAGACAGGGGGAAAUAGACCCACCCGUAAGAGCACUAAUAGAACACAGGGGGAAAAAGACCUACCGUAAGAGCACUAAUAGAACACAGGGGGAAAUAGACCCACCCGUAAGAGCACUAAUAGAACACAGGGGGAAAUAGACCUACCGUAAGAGCACUAAUAGAACACAGGGGGAAAUAGACCUACCGUAAGAGCACUAAUAGAACACAGGGGGAUAUAGACCUACCGUAAGAGUACUAAUAGAACACAGGGGGAUAUAGACCUACCGUAAGAGCACUAAUAGAACACAGGGGGAAAUAGACCUACCGUAAGAGCACUAAUAGAACACAGGGGGAUAUAGACCUACCGUAAGAGUACUAAUAGAACACAGGGGGAUAUAGACCCACCCGUAAGAGCACUAAUAGAACACAGGGGGAAAUAGACCUACCGUAAGAGCACUAAUAGAACACAGGGGGAAAUAGACCUACCGUAAGUGCACUAAUAGAACACAGGGGGAGAUAGACCUACCGUAAGAGUACUAAUAGAACACAGGGGGAACUAGACCUACCGUAAGUGCACUAAUAGAACACAGGGGGAAAUAGACCUACCGUAAGAGCACUAAUAGAACACAGGGGGAAAUAGACCCACCCGUAAGAGCACUAAUAGAACACAGGGGGAAAUAGACCUACCGUAAGAGCACUAAUAGAACACAGGGGGAAAUAGACCCACCCGUAAGAGCACUAAUAGAACACAGGGGGAAAUAGACCUACCGUAAGAGCACUAAUAGAACACAGAGGGAAAUAGACCCACCCGUAAGAGCACUAAUAGAACACAGGGGGAAAUAGACCUACCGUAAGAGCACUAAUAGAACACAGGGGGAAAUAGACCCACCCGUAAGAGCACUAAUAGAACACAGGGGGAAAUAGACCUACCGUAAGAGCACUAAUAGAACACAGGGGGAAAUAGACCUACCGUAAGAGCACUAAUAGAACACAGGGGGAUAUAGACCUACCGUAAGUGCACUAAUAGAACACAGGGGGAUAUAGACCUACCGUAAAAGCACUAAUAGAACACAGAGGGAUAUAGACCUACCGUAAGAGUACUAAUAGAACACAGGGGGAUAUAGACCUACCGUAAGAGCAGAAAUAAAACACAGAGGGAAAUAGACCCACCCGUAAGAGCACUAAUAGAACACAGGGGGAUAUAGACCUACCGUAAGAGCACUAAUAGAACACAGGGGGAUAUAGACCUACCGUAAGAGCACUAAUAGAACACAGGGGAAUAUAGACCUACCGUAAGAGCAGAAAUAAAACACAGAGGGAAAUAGACCUACCGUAAGAGUACUAAUAGAACACAGGGGGAUAUAGACCUACCGUAAGAGCACUAAUAGAACACAGGGGAAUAUAGACCUACCGUAAGAGCACUAAUAGAACACAGGGGGAUAUAGACCUACCGUAAGAGCACUAAUAGAACACAGGGGGAUAUAGACCUACCGUAAGAGCUCUAAUAGAACACAGGGGGAAAUAGACCCACCCGUAAGAGCACUAA